rnacentral:rRNA from 1 species
UCAAUAAGCGGAGGAAAAGAAACCAACAGGGAUUGCCCUAGUAACGGCGAGUGAAGCGGCAACAGCUCAAAUUUGAAAUCUGGCGCAAGCCCGAGUUGUAAUUUGCAGAGGAUGCUUCUGGGCAGCGGCCGUUCUAAGUCUCUUGGAACAGGGCGUCAUAGAGGGUGAGAAUCCCGUAUGUGACCGGCGCGCACCCUCCACGUAGCUCCUUCGACGAGUCGAGUUGUUUGGGAAUGCAGCUCUAAAUGGGAGGUAAAUUCCUUCUAAAGCUAAAUACCGGCCAGAGACCGAUAGCGCACAAGUAGAGUGAUCGAAAGAUGAAAAGCACUUUGGAAAGAGAGUUAAAAAGCACGUGAAAUUGUUGAAAGGGAAGCGCUCGCAACCAGACUCCGCGGCGGUGUUCCGCCGGUCUUCUGACCGGUCCACUCGCCGCCGCGGGGCCAACAUCGUCUGGGGCCGCCGGAUAAGACCGUGGGAAUGUGGCUCCUCGGAGUGUUAUAGCCCGCGGUGAUACGGCGCGCGCCGGGCGAGGUCCGCGCUUCGGCAAGGAUGUUGGCGUAAUGGUUGCCAGCGGCCCGUCUUGAAACACGGACCAAGGAGUCUAACAUCUAUGCGAGUG